AACAAAGCAAGCGUUAGGGGGGUGGCCAGACACGGUCUUGAAGGCCAGCGGUCCGUAGUUGGCAUGAGCGAUAGAUAGUUGGUGCUGCCUUGUGUGCGCUUGUUAUUCUUGAAGCUCACAGUGACGUGACAACAAUAGACAAGAGAGUGUGUGACUCCGUUAUUUUUGAUCUUGACUGUCCCCGGUUGGACCAGCUCUCUCAGAUCACUUGGUACAAGGGAAAUAUGUCCUUAAAGCACUGGACACGUGGCGACACAGUGGUCAGCCAACGGAUUCACGUCUUUCCUAAUGGGGCGUUAGGGAUUCGCAGUGUAGGGAUUUUUUUUGGUGUGCAACAGCUCUGAGCACCUCCUUUACCAAAGAAUAUUUCAGCUACGUGUACACGGUAGGUAUAAAUUCUCACUUGAAAGUUCAUGUCUUAGUGUGUUGGGCUGCCUGGAUCAGGCCUUUGUUUCUGUUACUAUGCAUAGAUUAUAUAUUCGU
rnacentral:lncRNA from 1 species